rnacentral:rRNA from 1 species
AGGACGAACGCUGGCGGCGUGCUUAACACAUGCAAGUCGAGCGGAAAGGCCCUUCGGGGUACUCGAGCGGCGAACGGGUGAGUAACACGUGAGCAAUCUGCCCUUAGCUUCGGGAUAGCCCCGGGAAACCGGGAUUAAUACCGAAUACGACCUCGGCCGACAUCGGCUUUGGUGGAAAGUUUUUCGGCUAGGGAUGAACUCGCGGCCUAUCAGCUUGUUGGUGGGGUAAUGGCCUACCAAGGCGACGACGGGUAGCCGGCCUGAGAGGGCGACCGGCCACACUGGGACUGAGACACGGCCCAGACUCCUACGGGAGGCAGCAGUGGGGAAUAUUGCGCAAUGGGCGAAAGCCUGACGCAGCGACGCCGCGUGGGGGAUGAAGGCCUUCGGGUUGUAACCCUUUCAGCAGGGACGAAGCGAGAGUGACGGUACCUGCAGAAGAAGCGCCGGCUAACGUACGCGCCAGCAGCCGC